rfam:Streptomyces oceani strain SCSIO 02100 scaffold56, whole genome shotgun sequence.
CUUCACCGCGCCCAGCCACAGCGGCCGGUCGGCGGCCCGCUCCGCGCCGUACACCGCCAUCAGCGCCUGCGCCUC